GACGAACGCUGGCGGCGUGCUUAACACAUGCAAGUCGAACGGAAAGGCCCUGCUUGCAGGGUACUCGAGUGGCGAACGGGUGAGUAACACGUGGGUGAUCUGCCCUGCACUUCGGGAUAAGCCUGGGAGACUGGGUCUAAUACCGGAUAGGAGCCAUUUUUAGUGUGAUGGUUGGAAAGUUUUUUCGGUGUAGGAUGAGCUCGCGGCCUAUCAGCUUGUUGGUGGGGUAAUGGCCUACCAAGGCGGCGACGGGUAGCCGGCCUGAGAGGGUGGACGGCCACAUUGGGACUGAGAUACGGCCCAGACUCCUACGGGAGGCAGCAGUGGGGAAUAUUGCACAAUGGGCGCAAGCCUGAUGCAGCGACGCCGCGUGGGGGAUGACGGCCUUCGGGUUGUAAACUCCUUUCGCUAGGGACGAAGCUUUUUGUGACGGUACCUAGAUAAGAAGCACCGGCUAACUACGUG
rnacentral:rRNA from 1 species